rnacentral:rRNA from 1 species
UACGUAGGGUGCGAGCGUUAAUCGGAAUUACUGGGCGUAAAGCGUGCGCAGGCGGCGCGUUAAGACAGGUGUGAAAGCCCCGAGCUUAACUUGGGAAUUGCGCUUGUGACUGGCGUGCUGGAGUGUGGCAGAGGGAGGUGGAAUUCCACGUGUAGCAGUGAAAUGACGUAGAGAUGUGGAGGAACACCGAUGGCGAAGGCAGCCUCCUGGGCCAGCACUGACGCUCAUGCACGAAAGCGUGGGGAGCAAACAGG